rnacentral:tRNA from 1 species
CGGGGCGUAGCGCAGCCUGGUAGCGCACUUGCAUGGGUGCAAGGGGUCGAGUGUUCGAAUCACUCCGUCCCGACCA